rnacentral:rRNA from 1 species
GGAAUAUUGGUCAAUGGGCGCAAGCCUGAACCAGCCAUGCCGCGUGCAGGAUGACGGUCCUAUGGAUUGUAAACUGCUUUUGUACGAGAAGAAACAACUCUACGUGUAGAGUCUUGACGGUAUCGUAAGAAUAAGGAUCGGCUAACUCCGUGCCAGCAGCCGCGGUAAUACGGAGGAUCCAAGCGUUAUCCGGAAUCAUUGGGUUUAAAGGGUCCGUAGGCGGUUUAGUAAGUCAGUGGUGAAAGCCCAUCGCUCAACGGUGGAACGGCCAUUGAUACUGCUAAACUUGAAUUAUUAGGAAGUAACUAGAAUAUGUAGUGUAGCGGUGAAAUGCUUAGAGAUUACAUGGAAUACCAAUUGCGAAGGCAGGUUACUACUAAUUGAUUGACGCUGAUGGACGAAAGCGUGGGUAGCGAACAGGAUUAGAUACCCCAG